rnacentral:tRNA from 1 species
AGCCGCGUGGUGAGACCACACCAAAGUGCAAAUUUGGAGACGUACCCCAGAGGGUGCCGGGGCUU